UCAGAAAAAGUCAGAGACAAAGAAGAAUAAAUCUAAAGACUCAGUGGCACAUACAGCAAAUGAACAACAUAAUCAAGGAAGAAAACAGCCACCACCACCAUCUGACGCAGGAGCAGCAGCAGGAACAACAUUGAAUGGCAGAGAGGACUCAGAUGGUGCAGUUUCAAGAGAACAUGUUGACUUACAAGAAUCUGGUCGCACUUUACCACAAAGACCUAUGCCUGGCAUUCCUAGGAAAAAUGACGGACAAGGACAUGACAGUAAAGGCCGGGGUUUGUCAGCCAACUUUAACGAUGAUGACCAUCCACUAAUUGGUAUUGAUAUACCAUCCAAAAAGGCAGGUGCUUUAGGUUCACUAUCUGAAGAAACAGGAGGAGAAGGACCAGUGAAGAAAUUGAAGAAAAAGAAAAGGAAAUCAAAGGAGGAUCAGGAGGAUGAAGUGUAAAGAAUAACAAUGAUUGUAUUUUAAUAAAAGUUUUUGUAUGCCACCCUUUUUUUCUUUAUCACUGAGAAGUUUUUGUUUUUUUCACAUUUCCGUAUUUUUAAGUAAAUAGCUAUACUUACCUGUUUAUUACGCAUUUUUGGAUGCUCAAAAAUAUUUGUUUACUUUUCCGAGAAACUUGCAUUGACUAUGAACACGCACGGCAAUGGCACAAGCGUAUUUUUGAGAGCCACAGAAUUAACGAGGAACCACGGAAUAUCGAGAAUCGGGUACUGGUUGAGAACCAUUUUCCGGACAAGACCAGUUUCCGGACACAUGUAAUAUCCGCUUUAUUUCGUUGUAAUUCAUGUAAUUGUUUCAUCUAGAUCAUUUAGAUGUUUGUUCUUCAUGUCUACAACAAACUACUAUUUUAUAAGGCUGUAUAAUGUUUGGGUUUUUGAUGAUAACUCACCUGCGUUUACAAAACAACUUUCUGUCUUAUCGGGGCACGAAGAUAGCAUUGCGCAUGCACAGUAGUUCACACAUGCCGAGAUACCAAGUGGGGAGGAAAUAAACAAGCUACGUAAUGUUUAUCUGCUGAUAACAUUUUCUACUUUUAAUUUCACGCUAAAAGUUACGUAAGAUUCAGGGCUGUCGAUUUUUGCACUAAUUUUAUUCUAUAUCUAUUGGAAUUAUCAAGAAUUCGUAUAAGACGAAAUUCAAGUUUUUUAUAGUCAACCUUGGUUUGCUUUCGUAGCUGCUAUUGAACGUCGGGUUAUGUUUCAUGUGCAAUUUUGAAGAGAUAAAUGAUAAAGAAAUGUGUAGAAAUAGUUUAAUUACUUAUUUUGAUAUCAAAUUAACAACAAAACACCGUCAAAUUAUUUGUCCGGAUACUGGUUUACCUGACGGGGGAAAAUAACUUCUUUUAGUGACCCCAUUUGAGGCCUCAUGAAACCCAUAUUUUACGUCACAACGCGAUGCUGAUUACAACAUCGGAUGUGGAAGGAGCUGAAGUUUGUGCAGUGUGGGCUUCCUUUAUGUCAAAUAUUAUUUUUAGGGAAUAAUGGAGACGAAAUAUGAAAAUGUGUCCGGAAAAUGGUUCCCAACCAGUAUAUUAGUAGUAUGAAAGUAACAAAAUAUUCUUAUAUGUUGAUUACAAAUUAAAGCAUUGUUUGUGAAUUAACUCCGAGUUAGAAUAUCAUUAAAUAUGUAUAGUAAACUGUAAAAAUAAAAAAAAAGUUAUAACAAUAUUAAAAAUAACAUUUCUGAAUUCUAUGUGGAAAUGAAGCUAAAAUUGUCCUCAUGACUAGCCAUGUAUGAAUAUUACUGGAAACAUUUUAACGUGCAAGCUCUACAGUCAUGAUAGUUUGGUUGCAAAAUUUGAAGGAGACAAUUAUAUAUUCUUAAAAAUUGAGUUGAAAUGAGAAAUUGAAAAUUUCAGGGAGGAUUUUUAUGACAUUAUUGUGUAAUGUUUAUUCCAACUCCCUUUAUUGUUGUUUUGACGAGAGUACAACAGUUUGCAAUUCAGCAAUUUUCUGUUUGUUACCUCUUCUGAAAAGGAAUGGAUCUAAAGUUGUAGUUAUAUCUUAUAUAGAGAGAGCUAGUUAAUAUGUCUAAAAAUGAAUAUGUUAGGUCUUCUCAUUUCUUCUUUUUUAAGUAAUAAUAGAAAUUUUAAAUACAUUGGAGUCAUUUCAGUGAUGUAGCCUUGCUACUGCAUUUCUACAACUUACAUUUUAAAAGGCUCUGCUUUCAAUUUUCAGUAUUAUUUAAACUUUAUGAAAGAUUUUUUAAGCAGGUAUUUUCUUGUUGUAGUCAGUUUUCAUAAUGUAACACAUCAUUUGUCAGCAGAAGUUUUAUCCAAUGAAAAAUCAAAUAAAAGGAAAAAAAGCAAGACUAUAAAGAUUCUAAUUAAAAAAGAUGAGUUUUAUUUGUAGGAACAUAAAUGAUAUUGUCAUCAUUAUAUAUUACAUCCCUAACAACUGUGAAAUAUGUAAGAUCUUAACUGAAAUUGAAUCAAAAAUACAGUGAGUGUUUCACUCUAAUCUAGCUUGAUCUGUGAUAUUAAAGAUCCGUCCAUAUGCUAGCAUCUAAAAGUUUUUUCAUACUUUUUUUGCAUUUGGUUUUAAUUGUACAUUAUUUAGAAACUUAGCACUUCUACACAAGGCAUACACCUGCACUGUGUAUGGUUAUAAGGAAAACUUGCUUAUCAGAAGUCUCAUUUAAACUGUGUAUAACACACCAAAACUGUUUUCCUCGGACAAAAAAGAAUGUGAUUUCACUAAGCUUCAAAUUAAGCUUAAAAAAUAGUAUGUAAUAAACUUGGCAUAUGUAAGUGGUUGGCUAAAUAAUUAGAAAUUAUUUUCUCUCUCCAUAUUUUAAAAAAGGUGCAAAAGUGGAAACAAACUUUUGGAUGCUAGUGUAGCUAUUUUUUAUGUAUAGAAAUAUUAUU